rnacentral:rRNA from 1 species
GUCUACAACUAUACUACCCUGAGCAUACCCUAUAUCUCGUCUGAUCUUGGAAGCUAAACAGCGUCGGGCCUGGUUAGUACUCAAUUUCCAUCGAAAAUAGAAUCGAAAAUUGAUGAUC